CCUGAUAAAAACCCAGCGGCUGAGGUGCCUCAGACACUGAGAGCAGCUGGUUUGUCACCUCCCUGUGCCCCUCUGUCACUCCAGGCUGGUGACAGGCCGCAGCCCCGUGCGCCGGGACGCAGCCUGGAGCGAGCACAGGGAUUUUCCACAGCACUGGGGCCGGGGAAGCAGCGGGGUCUGAGCCCGGGGGUGCCCCAGGACCGGGCAGAGAGGGAGCGGGGUGGAACGGGGGGACAGCGGGGGACAGCGGGCUCAGGGUCGGGAAGCGCAGCCCGGGACGGACCCCUCGGGCCGGGAACGCUGCGCGGGCUCAGGGCGCCCCUCACCGUCCGCAGCGCACCGCGCAAAACCGCGCAAAACCGCGCAUCCCGGGACAGACACAGAACGGGACAGAGCGGGACAGAACGGGACAGAGCGGGACAGAGCGGGACAGCGUCGCGCAUCCCGGGACAGAGCGGAACCCGGGAUAGAGCGGGACCCGGGACAGAGCGGGACCGGGACAGAGCGAGACCGCACCGCGCAUCCCGGGACAGAGCGAGACCGCACCGCGCAUCCCGGGACAGAGCGGGCCAGACCCGCACCCACCGGCUCCGUGCGGGUCACAGCGCUCCGUUCAUCCCGGGAGAGAGCGGGCCAGACCCGCACCCACCGGCUCCGUGCGGGUCACAGCGCUCCGUUCAUCCCGGGAGAGAGCAGGCCAGACCCGCACCCACCGGUUCCGUGCGGGUCACAGCGCUCCGUUCAUCCCGGGAGAGAGCGGGCCAGACCCGCACCCACCGGCUCCGUGCGGGUCACAGCGCUCCGCUCAUCCCGGGCCAGACCCGCGCCCACCGGCUCCGUGCGGGUCACAGCGCUCCGCGCAUCCCGGAGCGGCGCGGUCGCACCGCGCAUCCCCCUUGGCAGCGCCCGCGGCCAUGCGCGCCCGGCGGCGGCGACGGAGCCGCGGGGCCACGGGGGGCGGCGGCGGCGGAGGAGGAGGAGGAGGAGGCGGAGGAAGGCGCUGAGCAGCAGCAGCAGCCACGCAGCUUUGACGUCGCCGGGCUGCGGCUGCCGGCCCCGCACGUAUAG
rnacentral:lncRNA from 1 species